rnacentral:lncRNA from 1 species
UUGGGACACCAUAAAUUAUUCCAAGUGACGAAUCUAUUAUUUUUGUGGUUGUGAGUCGUGAGUGAGAGGUGAGUGAAAGGGAAGGGUUGAAUGACGGUCGAUUAGAGAGAUGGAGGAAAAUGGUGGUCUGGGGUUUUCAGAGAAAAUGCUAUGGAGGUGCGCCGUUUCUUCUUUUUAGAGAGGAGGGGUCUCCUCUUUUUAAUGUGAGCAAUCUGAUUCUCCCUUCACUCUCUCAUUUGCAUAUAUAGACACUCAUAGAUCUCUGACUUAUUCCUUCUUUAUAGACGCACAAUGAACACACACGAAAAUGGACUCCCAUUUCAAAAUACUUCUGAAUUCAAAGUCUAAAUCAGCUGCAUGUGUUUCGAUGUAUCUGGGUUCUAAAUAUUGCUGUGGUUGAAAAAUUGCUGCUGCUCUUUGUUUGGAUCUACCGAUUUGUUCAUGGGUUUAGGAAAUCGCUAUUUUAGCUGUUGUUGAGUAUCCCGUUGAACAUUUCGGACUUUAGCUUUCCAUUUCAGCUUCAUUUGAAUAAUUUUGAGCUGUAUUGUUGCUGUUUAGGUAUGUUCAUACACUUUCUUUGUGUUUUUUUUACUGAACCAUGAACGAAGCUCGAGUUGUUUAUUGCUUUACGCUAUUAGAUCUAGUAUGUUUAAAGGCUAAUUUAGUUGGAAUCCUUUCCUCUGAUUAACCUCUGCAAAUCAUAGUUUUUUUUUUUAUAUUUUAUUUUGAUGAAAUGCUUAGGCGUGAUUAACUAGAAAAUUCUCUAAUGAAUCACUGGUAUUCCUUAUCUUUAUUUAGUUUUGUGGUAUU